AAUUGCUUAUAUAUAUUUCUGAGAAAUCUUAGAUUUUUUUAUUUACUCCGCUUAGAAGAUUAAUAUAUUAAAUACGCUUUUAACGUUCCAAAUUCUUUAUAUGUCUUAAAACAACUGUUAUCUCUUAAAAUUACUAUUUUACCAUUUUAAAAAUAUCUUUUUACCGUCACCAAUUUUACUUAUUUGCUCUUAAGUUAGGAAAAAAUGUGUAUUUUGACUUUUAUAAACUCUGAUAAAAAUUCAAUCCAAAUUUAAUCCGAGAUAACUUGACGGAUUUUGACAAGGAAGUUAUUUUCGAAUAAUAAAGAAAAAUAUACGAUGAUUUAUUUCAAAUAAAAAAAAAAGACCAUAUAAAAUAUUUCAGAAGUUUUCAGAGAUACAUAGACAGUUAUUCUAAGAAAAAAAAAGAGUAAUGCUACAUAUA
rnacentral:lncRNA from 1 species